GGAAUAUUGGACAAUGGGGGCAACCCUGAUCCAGCCAUGCCGCGUGUGUGAAGAAGGCCUUAGGGUUGUAAAGCACUUUCAGUGGGGUGAAAGGUGGUUUGGUUAAUAACCGGAUCGAUUGAUGUUACCACCAGAAGAAGCACCGGCUAACUCCGUGCCAGCAGCCGAGGUAAUACGGAGGGGGCAAGCGUUAAUCGGAAUUACUGGGCGUCAAGCGCACGUAGGCGGUUUGUUAAGCCAGCUGUGAAAUCCCCGGGCUCAACCUGGGAAUUGCAGUUGGAACUGGCAAGCUAGAGUAUGGUAGAGGGGUGUGGAAUUUCAGGUGUAGCGGUGAAAUGCGUAGAUAUCUGAAGGAACAUCAGUGGCGAAGGCGACACCCUGGAUCAAUACUGACGCUGAGGUGCGAAAGCGUGGGGAGCAAA
rnacentral:rRNA from 1 species